CACCUUAUUAGAUAUACAAUACCAGUCUGCCAACGCCAAAUAGGUUUCCACGACAGCACAAAGUACAUAUUAACCUGGCUACCAGUCUGUUUGUGCUGUCAUGCCAACGCCAAAUAGGUUUCCACGACAGCACAAAGUACAUAUUAACCUGGCUACCACUCUGUUUGUGCUGUCAUGCCAACGCCAAAUAGGUUUCCACGACAGCACAAAGUACAUAUUAACCUGGCUACCAGUCUGUUUGUGCCGUCAUGCCAACGCCAAAUAGGUUUCCACGACAGCACAAAGUACAUAUUAACCUGGCUACCAGUCUGUUUGUGCCGUCAUGCCAACGCCAAAUAGGUUUCCACGACAGCACAAAGUACAUAUUAACCUGGCUACCAGUCUGUUUGUGCCGUCAUACCAACGCCAAAUAGGUUUCCACGACAGCACAAAGUACAUAUUAACCUGGCUACCAGUCUGUUUGUGCUGUCAUGCCAACGCCAAAUAGGUUUCCACGACAGCACAAAGUACAUAUUAACCUGACUACCAGUCUGUUUGUGCCGUCAUGCCAACGCCAAAUAGGUUUCCACGACAGCACAAAGUACAUAUUAACCUGGCUACCAGUCUGUUUGUGCUGUCAUGCCAACGCCAAAUAGGUUUCCACGACAGCACAAAGUACAUAUUAACCUGGCUACCAGUCUGUUUGUGCCAUCAUGCCAACGCAAGGUUUCCACGACAGCACAAAACAGAUCUGGGACAAAGCAAACUACUUGCUUGACUCAUUUCCAAUAUCACUGUGUGAUCUUGUGAAAGCUAAUAUGCUCCAGAACUGUUUGGGUCCAAGCCGAACAUCUGAUUACUCUUUUACAAAUUACAUUCUCAAAAAAAUGCUUCCUCUAGUCACGGUAGGAUACAAGGUGAUCAAAAUCCCCUCUGGUUCGACAAGUCAACACCAUUGGAAUCACGCUGAGUGAUAAGGCAGAUGGGUCCCUUUCAACUGGAGAUUGAUUUCACAGCCAUCUAACGACCGUGCACA